rnacentral:lncRNA from 1 species
GACCCAGGUGGGGAAGGGGCGCGGCUGCCCCGCGUAACUGCAGCGCACCCAGCCCUGAGUCCCGGGUUCGCUCCAGCCCGGUGACAGGCCAGGAAGCCGAGCCGAGCCGACCGAGCGCCCGGACACGCAGAGCGCUCGGAUGCUGCCUCGCAGCCGCUGGACGCGCGUCCGGAGCCGGCCACGCUGCCCCGCCCUCGCACUCUUUCAACCCUUCGGGCAAAGAAGCUGGCCCGCCCGGGUUCAGCCGGGAGCCCCAAUCGCCCUCUUCCGCGACCUGCUGCAGACCCAGGGGUCGGGCCGCUCCAGUUAGAGCGCUCGCACCGGCAGAGGAUCGCGCAAACUCUCGAUCGCGAGACGGUUGUCGCUCACGGCCGCCCAGUGGCGGACAGCGGCCGC